AGCAGCCGCGGUAAUUCCAGCUCCAAUAGCGUAUAUUAAAGUUGUUGCAGUUAAAAAGCUCGUAGUUGAAUUUUGGGUCUGGCUGGGCGGUCCGCCCUCCGGGUGAGCACUGUUCCGACGCCGGGCCUAUCCUUCUGGUGAGUCGGCAUGUCCUUUGUUGGGUGUGUCGGGGAACCAGGACCAUUACCUUGAAAAAAUUAGAGUGUUCAAAGCAGGCGUAUGCUCGGAUACAUUAGCAUGGAAUAAUGAAAUAGGACGCGUGGUGCUAUUUUGUUGGUUUCUAGAACCGCCGUAAUGAUUAAUAGGGAUAGUUGGGGGCAUUAGUAUUCAAUUGUCAGAGGUGAAAUUCUUGGAUUUUAUUGAAGACUAACUUCUGCGAAAGCAUUUGCCAAGGAUGUUUUCAUUAAUCAAGAACGAAAGUUAGGGGAUCGAAGACGAUCAGAUACCGUCGUAGUCUUAACCAUAAACUAU
rnacentral:rRNA from 1 species